UCUUGUCUUAGUACUAAAAAGAGAAUUAUCAAUAAUGUUGGUCAAAUAAAAUCAUAGAUAAUAUCUUUAUCCUUUAAAUUUAAAAGUUAUAAACAGAAUAGGGGUUGUAUCCUAUUAUGAGAUCAAGGCUUAGGGUAGUUUUAAAAACCGAAAAUAAAUGGCAGUAUAAUAUUCAUAUUAAGGAAUUUUGAAAAAUAAGUUGAUAGUCCUCAAUUUUAUUUACUUUAAAAAAUUUUUUGUGUGGCUGUUAAAUAAUAAUUCUCAAGUAGAAGUUUUCAUCAGGUUUUACGUUAUAAAUAUUUAAAGGUAUUUUUGAAAUGUUGUAAAAAAUUUUGAUUUUAAUUAAUAAAGAUAAUACUUAACAGUAAUAAAUAAUUUUAUGAGUUAGUUUUAUUAUGGGUUCAUAUCGUC
rnacentral:rRNA from 1 species